CCCAUGCCCGCGGAGGGCGCCCUCCACACAGAGAAACACACUAACAAAUCCCAGUCCAGAGCCAGCAGGUGUGGUUUCUAAAGGGAGUAAAGAUGUGUUCCACGAAGAAAUGAAGACACAGUUCAGAGAAUCUAUGCGCCAUCCAAUCCAAGCUUCUUCAGCAACCGUGGAGUUCAGAAGGAUGUGAAUUCUGUGUGCAGCCCUUGACUGACCUAAGAUUAUCUCUUCACUCUGCUGACGGCUCCCUUUGCCAUGCAAAAGUGAAAAGCGAAAAGCUAAGUCAAAUUUUCAGAGAAAUGAC
rnacentral:sRNA from 1 species